rnacentral:rRNA from 1 species
GAUGAAUGCUGGCUGUGUGGAUAAGGCAUGCAAGUCGAAUGAAUUUAUAUUCAUGGCGAACGAGGUAGUAACACGUAGGACUACGUACCCCAAAGUCAAGGAUAACCUAUCGAAAGGUAGGAUAAUACUUGAUAUCUCUUCGGAGGAAAGAUUUAUCGCUUUGGGAACGGCCUGCGGAGUAUCAGCUUGUUGGUAGUGUAAUGGACUACCAAGGCUACGACGCUUAGGGGAGGUGAGAGCCUGACCCCCACCGAUGGAACUGAGACACGGUCCAUACUCCUACGGGAGGCCGCAGUCGAGAAUCUUCCACAAUGGACGAAAGUCUGAUGGAGCGACACAGCGUGACCGAUGAAGUCUUACAAGAUGUAAAGGUCUUUUAUAAGUGAAAAAGUUUAUUGAUAUUAGCUUAUGAAUAAGGGGCUGCUAAUCACG